GGGCCUCUAGCUCAUCGAAGGAAGAGCACUCGCCCCGCAAGCGAGAGGUGGCCGGUUCGAGCCCGGCGAGGUCCA
rnacentral:tRNA from 1 species